AGGAAGGCAGUCGUCCUCCCUGGGUACAGUAUGUCAGAUUCCCUUCGAUUGGCAGGAAGGUUGGGCGCUCUCCAUUGCAGUUGCUUUCAGCAGGACAUUAGGCUGAAGCUCCCCUGCCCAGCAGCAGUGCUGAGCUCAAUCAGAGGGCUGCUGGGAAGAAUUCACUGGAAAGGCAGAUUAGACCUUUUGCCAAGCCCACUCUAUGACUUCCGGAGCCUGGGAGCAUAACAAAAUACUGCUGGGAGCUGUGCUGAGUUAGUGCCUGAUACAUACAGUUGGUCAUUAUGUUCCUAGGACCCCAGCGAUUGAGGAGGUGGCUUGGACACCAGAAUUAUUACAGAACUGUUCAGAAUUCACACAGGCCAAGAGCGUUUCCUUUCAUCCCUAGGUGGAUCCCAGGUGACAGAAACAAUGCAGCUUUUGAGGGGGAUGGCAACAGCGAAUCAACAGCUAGGCAGUUCAAUAACCAAAACAGCUGGCCUGAGAGAUGGAGGAGACAGCUGACAUUUGGACCAGCGAGCAAAUCAUUGCCAAGUAAUGCAAGAAGCUUUUCUGACAGGUACCAAGUCCAGAUCAAACCCGGAUCAGUCCUCACAAUUUCUGUUGCCAGUCCUCAGGGAGGCCCAAAUAAGCUAUUCAGAAGAACCAAUGAGGAAAGUUCAUUUCAAACAAAUAAAUGGAACUCGCCUAAAAUUGAGAAAAUUCAGCCCAAAGGGAUUUCCCUGAGAUACAAUUUCCGGGCUGUUGCCAAUCAGACUAAAAUUACCCUCAAUGAAAGAUUCUCUGGCCUGCCCAUCCUCCCAAAGGAUUUCACAGUUACCAAACCUCGGAACAGAACCGUCACACUGCCUUAAAUGUUCACAGCUAUGAUAAUACAGAGUUAGUAGUUGCUUAAUGCAUUUUUUUUGCCAGAGAUAGUUAUUUUUCUUCAAAUAGUUUGCUGACAUAGACUUUCCACUUUAUGCUACAGUCUCAGUAAUCCAUUACUGUUGUGUGUAUACAUAUACCCCAAGGAACAAAAUCCCUGUGGGCUCUCUCUCUUCAUGUCCGUUUACUCGCAAAGUUGGCAGGUAACAUAGGAGACAGAAGGGGUGAAACAUCUCCGUGGCUUCUUACAGUCGCACCGUUGUCCUUUCCUCUUUGGGUGCCCUGUAGCAGUGGAGGGUUCGUUCACUCCCAGUUCACUUGUUCAUUAAAACUGAGGAACCCAUUUCAGAUCCUGUUCUACCAUUAGAGUAAACUAGCCCACAGGGGCUGCUCUGUCCAUAGCCUUGGGAGAGCAGUCACUCAGUCCAGCUGAACUUGACAUUUCCAAUGGAACAUCUGGGACAGACUGUUUGGCAUUUCUGUUGACAUUAACUGGCAUUGGACCUUAACAUGGAUUUGUAGAGAUUUACAGGUAGUUGCAUUCUAAGAUGGAGCACUGUCUACUAUGUGUACACAAACUAAAUAAAGACUAUGGAAACCAGGC
rnacentral:lncRNA from 1 species